GAUGAACGCUGGCGGCGUGCCUAAUACAUGCAAGUCGAGCGAACAGACGAGGAGCUUGCUCCUCUGACGUUAGCGGCGGACGGGUGAGUAACACGUGGAUAACCUACCUAUAAGACUGGGAUAACUUCGGGAAACCGGAGCUAAUACCGGAUAACAUGUUGAACCGCAUGGUUCAACAGUGAAAGACGGUCUUGCUGUCACUUAUAGAUGGAUCCGCGCCGCAUUAGCUAGUUGGUAAGGUAACGGCUUACCAAGGCAACGAUGCGUAGCCGACCUGAGAGGGUGAUGGGCCACACUGGAACUGAGACACGGUCCAGACUCCUACGGGAGGCAGCAGUAGGGAAUCUUCCGCAAUGGGCGAAAGCCUGACGGAGCAGCGCCGCGUGAGUGAAGAAGGUCUUCGGAUCGGAAAACUCUGUUAUUAGGGAAGAACAAAUGUGUAAGUAACUAUGCACGUCUUGACGGUACCUAAUCAGAAAGCCACGGCUAACUACGUG
rnacentral:rRNA from 1 species